AUUAUAAUAAUCUAAAAUCUCUAGAUAGAUGAGUUACUAAGAUAUCUACUAGACUCUAGUAGCUAGAUCUAAUUCUAGAUCCAGAUUAUAUUUCUGAUCAUUUCGUUUGUAGAAGAUAUUAGAUCCAGAAUAUUCUAGAAUCUAGAGUUAGUUAGCGAGUCAACAUGCAGUUUUAUCAUUACUUCUAAAAAGAAAGCAGACAGCUGGAUUUUCUCUUUCAAAGGCCGCGGGACACACAUUUAAGGCCAAACGAAAAUCUACUGCCGAGGACUGAUGUCGACGGCGAAAAGAAAAUCUAAAUCCACCAAAAUGGAAAAUGGUUUUGUCUACGCUGAAUGUGGCAAAAUAUGUAGGCCGCAGCUGGGACUGGUUAACCACGGGAAAUACUGCAUACCUAAUUAAUCUUCGGACUCGAAGACACGCCUUAUUAUCAGUAUAUUGAACGAAUUCCAACUGCUACAUUAGUUUUACACGUAACGUAAUUCAUUCAAGCGAAGCAAAACAUUGCAUUGACCGGAAGUUAAUAGUUUGAGGCCACCUAGAUCUAGAAUAGACCUACUUUGAGUGGAAGCAGACGUGUUGUUGUUAUUGGUGUUCUUGUGUACAAUAUUUCUUUUUUGGAUAAUUUAAUGUGAUUCAACUAUUGGAUAUUCCUUACAACUUGGAUUAUUGAAAUAGCACGGAUUAUUGGAGCAGAUUGGAUUAUUUAUUACUCAAAGACUUUGCGAUCAAUAUGGCAGAUGAUGUAAAGGUCAUCUGUUUCUGUGGCACACGGUUAAUGAGGGUGUCAUGUGGCUAUCUUGAUACAGUCUCUAAUCUAAUGAGCUUCAAUGUUAAUCAGCAAAGUAAAAAUCAUUUCACCCGUUCCAUGUAAAUAUGCACCUGCAACUCAACUAUACGUUUACCUUGCUUAUUGAGGUAAUUAGUAAAACAGUGGACAGUCGUCAGGAGAUUGACUGUAGAAUGGGAUUGAUUUCGAUACUUUACGAUUCUUUCCGAUUACCCGGCUGGUUCGAUUAACCGGGUGUACACUACUGAAUCACUAUUUUUUCCUCCUCAUCUAUAACGCGUAUUGAGCUUACUUAAGAAAUCUAUAAGUAAUGUAAGUUCCCCUUUCAGAUCUUGCCAUCUAUAGGCCCCAUGGUUAACAAGGGUGUAAUGUGCUCAGCACAACGACCAACCGCCUUUACCUCUCCCCACUAAUGUAAGGUACCUAUUAGAGCUGUGUAUUCAUCAGGUUCGAACCAGGGGCCCCGUUUCGGAAGACAAACGCUUUACCACUCAGCCACCGCGCCUACUGUAAAGAGGAUUAAUUUUUACAUGGUAUUACACUUCUUAGUGUGACUUAUAACUAAUACAAUGUACUAAACUAUAAGAACAGAACUAGGGACACACACA